rnacentral:lncRNA from 1 species
AUGUGUUCAGCCUGUUCAGGGUUGUGUAAGUAUUCAGACUGUUCAGGGUUGUGGAUGUAUUCAGACUGUUCAGGGUUGUGUAUGUAUUCAGACUGUUCAGGGUUGUGGAUGUAUUCAGACUGUUCAGGGUUGUGGAUGUGUUUGGAAUGUUCAGGGUUGUGGAUGUAUUCAUACUGUUCAGGGUUGUGGAAGUGGUUAGGACUGUUCCGGGUUGUGGAUGUGUUCAGACUGUUCAGGGUUGUGGAUGUGUUCAGACUGUUCAGGGUUGUGGAUGUGUUCAGAAUGUUCAGGGUUGUGGAUGUGUCAGCAAGUUUCAGGGGUUGUGGAUGUGUUCAGACUGAUGUUCAGGGUUGUGGAUGUGUUUCAGACUGUUCAGGGUUGUGUAUGUGUGCAGGUUGUGGAUGUAUUCAGACUGUUCAGGGUUGUGGAUGUGUUCAGACUGUUCAGGGUUGUGAUGUGUCAGACUGUUCAGGGUUGUGGAUGUAUUCAGAAUGUUCAGGGUUGUGGAUGUGUUCAGAAUGUUCUGGGUGUGGAUGUAUCAGACGUUUCUGUGUUGCGUUGUUUGGUGUAUUCAGGGUUGUGGAUGUGUUCAGGGUUGUGGAUGGGUUCAGACUGUUUCAGGGUUGUGAAUGUGUGCAGGGUGUGGAUGUGUUCAUAAUGUUAGGGUUGUGGAUGUGUUCAGACUGUUCAGGGUUGUGGAUGUAUUCAGAAGUUCAGGGUUGUGGAUGUGUUCAGACUGUUCAGGGUUGUGGAUGUGUUCAGACUGUUCAGGGUUGUGUAUGUGUUCAGACUGUUCAGGGUUGUGGAUGUAUUCAGAAUGUUCAGGGUUGUGGAUGUGUUCAGAAUGUUCUGGGUUGUGGAUGUUUCAGACUGUUCUGUGUUGUGAGAUGUAUUCAGGGUUGUGGAUGUGUUCAGGGUUGUGGAUGUGUUCAGACUGUUCAGGGUUGUGGAUGUGUUCAGACUGUUCAGGGUUGUGGAUGUGUUCAGACUGUUCAGGGUUGUGGAUGUAUUCACUGUCAGGGUUGUGGAUGUGUUUCAGAUGUUCAGGGUUUUGGAUUUUCAGACUGUUCAGGGUUGUGAAUAUGUCCAGACUGUUCAGGGUUGUGUAUGUAGUCAGACGUUCAGGGCUGUGUAUGUAGUUCAGACUGUUCAGGGUUGUGGAUGUGUUCAGACUGUUUUGGGUUGUGGAGUGUACGGGUUCAG